UAGAUAUGUUAACUUGGGAUUCCCUACACAUGAUAGUGUAAGAAGGUGCUUCCAGUUUUAAUUCAAUGACUAAGAAAUCAUGUACAAUCUUAGGAGUAACAUUUCCUUGGAAUUACUAAUGCAGAGCCAGCCCUGGAUAGCAAGGCUUCUAAGACACAGAGUAAGCCUCCAAGGAAACAGCAACAAUCUUUAUAGCAAGGAAAAGUACAAACCUGCCAACUCUGCUCUCCACUUUCCUAAUCAACUUUCAAGAAAUGCUUGUAUCCUUUUCCAGUGUUACUGUCAUGAUUCACACAUGCACCUUACCCACAGGUGUUUUUCUUGCCCUUCCCAUCACCUUGAGCUUCAGGCUGUCCUCCACUUCCUCUCUCCUGAUCAGGUGCCAUAUCCUGACCUUCCCUUGGAGGUUCCUCUUCUUCAGAUGGUUCAUUACCAGACUGCUGAGCCUAUUGGAAGAUGUGUGUAAAUCUAAACAGAAAUAAAAUCUAAACUUGUAUUGACAUCAACAAAACAAAAUUUUAUUGAUAAUACAAAUACCAACUUAAAAAUGCA
rnacentral:lncRNA from 1 species